CUACGGGGGGCACCAGUGGGAAAUAUUGCACAAUGGAGGAAACUCUGAUGCAGCAACGCCGCGUGGAGGAUGACACUUUUCGGAGCGUAAACUCCUUUUAUAUAGGAAGAAGAUGACGGUACUAUAUGAAUAAGCGCCGGCUAACUCCGUGCCAGCAGCCGCGGUAAUACGGAGGGCGCAAGCGUUACUCGGAAUCACUGGGCGUAAAGAGCGUGUAGGCGGAUUAAAAAGUCAGAAGUGAAAUCCUAUAGCUUAACUAUAGAACUGCUUCUGAAACUCUUAAUCUAGAAUGUGGGAGAGGUAGAUGGAAUUUCUGGUGUAGGGGUAAAAUCCGUAGAGAUCAGAAGGAAUACCGAUUGCGAAGGCGAUCUACUAGAACAUUAUUGACGCUGAGACGCGAAAGCGUGGGGAGCAAACAGGAUUAGAUACCCUUGUAGUC
rnacentral:rRNA from 1 species